rnacentral:rRNA from 1 species
CUCUAGUUGCCAGCGAUUCGGUCGGGGACUCUAGAGAUACUGCCCCGGUUAACGGGGAGGAAGGUGGGGAUGACGUCAAGUCCUCAUGGCCCUUAUGCCCAGGGCUACACACGUGCUACAAUGGGCGGUACAAAGGGUAGCGAUGCCGCGAGGUGAAGCCAAUCCCAAAAAGCCGUCCACAGUUCGGAUUGGAGUCUGCAACUCGACUCCAUGAAGCCGGAAUCGCUAGUAAUCGCGGAUCAGCAUGCCGCGGUGAAUACGUUCCCGGGCCUU